rnacentral:rRNA from 1 species
GUGGGGAAUUUUGGACAAUGGGCGAAAGCCUGAUCCAGUCAUGCCGCGUGCAGGAUGAAGGCCUUCGGGUUGUAAACUGCUUUUGUACGGAACGAAAAGACUCCUUCUAAUAAAGGGGGUCCAUGACGGUACCGUAAGAAUAAGCACCGGCUAACUACGUGCCAGCAGCCGCGGUAAUACGUAGGGUGCAAGCGUUAAUCGGAAUUACUGGGCGUAAAGCGUGCGCAGGCGGUUAUAUAAGACAGAUGUGAAAUCCCCGGGCUCAACCUGGGAACUGCAUUUGUGACUGUAUAGCUAGAGUACGGUAGAGGGGGAUGGAAUUCCGCGUGUAGCAGUGAAAUGCGUAGAUAUGCGGAGGAACACCGAUGGCGAAGGCAAUCCCCUGGACCUGUACUGACGCUCAUGCACGAAAGCGUGGGGAGCAAACAGGAUUAGAUACCCCAGUAGUCC